rnacentral:misc_RNA from 1 species
AUGGCUUCCACUCCAGAGCAAGUUGUUUGUACGCCGACCUUUGUUUUCCCGGCAGCUUUUCCGGGUGCUGUUGCAAAUGCUGUAAGGGCAAGAGGAACACAAAAUACAGGAAUUGAAAUAUGUGAACAAUUACAGAUGAAUAGUGUAGUUCCCUCAACCCUUACAGAAUACAAAGAUAACCACUCGUACAUCAGACCAGGUAUUCCAAGUUCCCAUAGCCCCAACUCAACUCAACUUUAUUUACCCUCAAGACCCCUCAGCACACCAACUCAUUCUUACCGGGGUUUUGAUCCUCGUUCCCAUUUGGCAAACUUUCAUCAUAACACUGGAACUACAGCAACUCCUCCACCUCCUCAACUGCAACCUCAAGAAGAAACCCAAAAACCCAAGAUAUCUAAUGCUGCCAAUCGUGGUUCAGGUGUUAAAACCCACACACUUUUGGCAAAUAAUGACUAUGCCACAUCUAACCGAAACUUCCUUGUAGCAACUACAAUAGUUCCUACAACUGCUGCCUUUGCCGGGGUAGAUCCAACCAAAGUAGUUUCUGCAGCAGCAGCUCAAGCAGCAGCAAUAGUAGCUGCCGUAGAGAAGCAAGAUGACAUGAAAGACAAGUUAUGGCCAUGUCCAGCAUGCAAGGUUCCUUUCAAGACAGCUUCUGAACUUCAAGCCCACCUCUCUCAUCACACAAAGGGUGAGAGAACGGUUCCAUGUGAAGUCUGUGGUAAGUUGUUUGUGUCAGCAGAACGAGUUCGAGUUCAUGUGCGUGCAGCUCAUGGAGAAAAAUCAUGUUCCUGUGACAUCUGUGGCAGCGGAUUCAGCUACCGUUGUAAGUUGUUAGACCACAUGCGGACCCACACAGGAGACAAGCCAUUCCACUGCGAUGUCUGUGGGAAGAGCUUUUCCCAGAAGAACCACCUGACUCGCCACUCCAUGAUCCACACUGGAGAACGACCCUACCCAUGUGAUUUUUGUGGACGAGGUUUCUACCGGAAGGACAAGCUGUCCCGACACAGACGAAUACACACAGGUGAGAAGCCUUAUAUAUGUUUAGCCUGUGGUAAGGCAUUCUACCGCAGAGAUAAGUUGACACGACAUAUUAAAAUGCACAGUGGGGAAAAGCCUUUUUUGUGUGCCAUCUGUGGAAAAAGAUUUGUUGAAGAAAGAGAUCUGAAGAGACAUAAAUGCUCCUCUCGCCACUUACACAAUUCCAGCUCCAUCAAGUUCCGGACGGCAGCCCCGAGCACUGGGACCCAGCAGCAGCCUGAUCAUCCCCAGCAGCAGCCUGACCAUUCCCAGCAGCAGCCUGACCAUUCCCAGCAGCAGCAUGACCAUCCCCAGCAGCAGCAUGACCAUCCCCAGCAGCAGCCUGACCAUCCCAAGCAGCAGUCCGAGCAACACCAAUGCCAAGCUCUCCCAGCUCAGUCCCAGCCACAGUCCCAGUCCCAGCACCAACCAUGUGGAGCUCAACCUGCAACACACUCCCAACCCUUUCAGAGCCUCCCCUUACAAACCUGACUGGCAAGGUCCUCCACCAGGGGUUCACUGAGUAACUUCAUCUUACACUGGAAGCAGUGACUAGCAUCAGGCUCAGGCAGGCUCACAUUCCCUUUGUUUUUCUCAUUGUUCUUUUUUUUUAUUACUAAAAAUAUUAGGAGCCCAUUAGAUCUGAGCUUAGUUGUUAUUAAGUAUGAAUCUUAUAUAUAAAAGAUUCUUUAUAAAACUGUGUGUUAACUUUUCUAGCCACCAGAGUUGGUGUAUUUGAGACAGUAUUGCAAUUUAUUUGUAUCUUAGUGGGAUGAACAAAAUAUUUUGUGAAUUGUUUAGUAAACAGCCAGUAUAAAUUCAGGCUCUUAGAAGUCAUCAUUUAGAAAAUAUAAAGUAUACAGUUAUUGUUUCAAAUAGUUAGCAUAAUUCUUUGUAAUUUGGUUGUACAUUACAAUGUAUCUAUACUCCCACACAUUGUUUGAAAAUAAGAUCAUAUCAUACUCUGUUUUACAUUGAUAUGCUGUGUUAGCUAUGUUUUGCUAUUUGUAUUAAUCUAUGACUAAUUUGUUGUUAUAACUGUUUUCAUACAUGUUUUUUGUGAAUGUGUGUGUGUGAGUGUUUUUAAUUUUUUUGGCUUUCCCCACCAUGCAUUAAAUAUAUAUAUAUAUUUUUAUUGGUAAAGGAUUGAAAUAGUUUUUAUGCUUGUAUAAUUACACAGAUGUGGUUGUGAGGUUAAAGGCAUAUUGAUGCAAGUGUUCUUAGAGUAUUAUAUAAUGGGCAUUUUGCAUUUUUGUAAACCUAUACAUAUAACAUGUUAAAUAUUCAUUUAGGCUUACUACUAUGGUUUGACAGGGAUAUGAUUAGCCUAAAUGUCUUGUAUAAUAGUGGUAAUCAUAGUUCAUUUGGCAAAAUUUUACAUACUUGCAAUACGUACUGAGGCAAUUUGACAUUCAACAUAAAUUUGUUCCUUGCAUUACAUGUAAUAACAAACAUACUUCCUUUGAUGUUUUACUUUAUGAUCUGAUUACCAUUAUUUAUCAAGUAAGUUGAUGGAUCUUCUCACAACCUUGUGAUGUGUGAUUUUAUAAUUCAUGAUUUGCCUUGUUACAUAUCAGGCUGCAAAUCAUUAUAUUAAAAAAAAGUGCUUUUCAAGAAUUUCCCAUGUAGUUCUUUAAAUUUGGGUGUGAUGAAUAUAACAUUUGUUUUCCUCAUUUCAGCCUGGUAUGCAUAACUUUGAUUCAUGAGCUGAUAAGAAAAUCCUUCUAUGUCAACACCUACAUAACAAUCAAACAAUGAAAAUUUUAAGUUAGGAUACUCUUAUGAAACUUCACACUUGCUUAAAAUAAAGUUAAUGCACAGUAAAAUAGUUCAUAAGUUUUAUUUUUGAAAAAAAUGAAUAUCUAAAUAUCAAGAAAAAAUGUUUUGUUGCUCAUGGUGUUAUCAUGUUUCAAAUUAUUAGUGUACUUGAAUCUUGGUAGAUUAAGAGUUAUUGGUUUGAAUGAUUUUUUUAGUUUAGUUGAUUUCUUGUGUAGGUGUUGGUAUUUUUAAGAAGUAUUUUCUUUUUGUACAGAUGUAUACAUAGCCAUCAAUUUAAGAAGAAUUAGCUAUUCUUAAGACAUGGAUAUUAAUUUCAAUUAAAGAUCUAAGAUGGUUAUUUAAUCAUGACAGAUUGAGAUACUUGAAUUUUUUAUCAAAAUUGUUCAAAUGUCAUUAUAAACCUAUAGUAAGUGUAGUAAAUAUAGAUUUCUCUUGAUCAAUAUCAGUUUUAAUUGUGUCUUUAAAACCAGUGCUUGCAGCUAAUAAUAGCAAGGGAUUUGUUUUAUGAACUUUAAAGAAAACUUUUCUAGCAUUAUAGUAUUCAACAGAAAAGGACUUUAGGAACAGGUAAGACUACAGGAUCUCAAAUGAAUGGUAAGGCCACAGAAAAAUUUGUAAUAAGCUAUUAUCUUUUUUUUUUAUUCAUUGUUUUCAUUUUAGAGAGUGGGUAAGGGGUCUUUGAGAAAACUUACGGAUGUAUUAAAUAAUUAUCCAACCAAGUUCUUAAUAAUAAAGGAGGAAAUUAAUUUUUGAAUGUUAUUCUUUGUCAAAAGCAUGUUUUACUGUUAUUUAUCCUUGUUUCUUUACAGGCAAAAAUGUUAGUAAAAAUAACAACAUAAAGAUGAUUAGUUUUUGAAUUGGGCACAUACAUUGAUUUAGCUUGUGUUAGAUAAAAUCUCAAAAGUGAUGAGGUAAGAGCUAAAUUUUUCUAACUUCUUUCAUUGAAAGCUAUUUCAUAAGUUAUAUAAUUUUGUUUCACAUACAAAAUAAGUAGUUUCAUACAGUAGUUAUGUCAAAUUUCUGCACAAGCUUACUUAUUCUGAAAACUUACUAUACUGGGGGUUGUAAAACUUGUGUGUGAUGGUACAGUACUUAAACAAAAAGAAUCAAGCAUAGCUGAUGAUAGAAUACACUAUCACGUUCAAGAAAGAAACUUAAAUUCUUGAGUACUAGAUUAAGAGAUGAGGAUCCCACUUGGGUUUUUAAGUUUAAUAUUAUGAACAACUUUACAGCAGAAAUAUUUUUUAAAGCAACUAAAACUACAACUGUGAUGUUUCAGCCCAAAGGCCUGAAGAUGGCCCACAGUUUUAAUUGCUCGAGAAAGAACACUGAUGCAUUAAAGCUGUUCACAGUAUUCAACUUAAGUUCUGUAACAUGAUAAUAGUGUAGUCAGAAUUAAUACUGCUUAUCACCUAGUACCAGAUACACUAGACAAAACUAAACAUAUUUUCCAAUUUGAAUGAUUUUUCAUGUGGAUAGUGAGGAUGGGAAGGUGUGUUCCUUUGUACAAGCUCUAGAGACAUAAUUUUUGUGUAAUGUAGCAUUGGAGGAAAAUUAGUGCUAUAUGGUACGGCCCUGUGGAUGAAGUGACAACUUUAAAAGGCAUCUAGCUGAUGAGUUCUGGUGUUGAAUGAAGGGCCUCUUGGGCAGUCAUGUGGGAAACAAAAGAUAGUUCUUAAUUGGUGUUUUUACACACCUCUGAUUUUGAAUCCAAAAUGAACAAACUAAGAGGUAUGUAGAAAAAACAAAUCAGCAGUUUACGUGAUUUUUAUCACUAAUUUUAGACCUAUUGGUUUUUAAAGCUUUGCCACUUUUGUUAUUUAAUCCUGUACUUAAAGCCUUUUUAAUAAUAUAUAUUAUAAGAUUACUAAGAUAUAAUUAAGCUUGUAACAAUAAAUUGCAUGGUUUUAAGGAUAUUUUUAAAAGAAAUUAGUCCUCAUGUUGUCAUAUGAUAUCAUUGUGACACCUUAGCUAUAACUGCUGCAUGAACCUUUCCUAAUGUUCAUGUUAAAUCAUUUAAACUUGUUAUUAGUUAUUGAUAGCAACAACAAUAAAUAUAACAGUUUAGGUAAAAUGAACUUUGAGAAUACAUGGAUGUAAAUACAUUUAAAUUGUUAAUGCUUGGCAGGCUUGGAUAAAUGGGCAUCCAGCUAAGAUAGCUUGUCUUUUAUUAUCUAUUUUUAUUUAAUUUUUUGUUUUACUAAUCUUGUAAAUGUGUUUUUUUUUGCUACAGUAUUUAAAAAUUCAUUCCUUGUUCUUUUAUCAUUUGCAUGUUGGGCCUUAAAAAACUAUGAUUUAAAAAUACUGCAAUAGAUAACAGUAAAUAAUGUUUUUUGCUAUCCUUAAUUCAUAGAACCACAAUUUUUGCUAAGUCUUCUUACAUUGCCCAGUAAAUAAUACUGUACUGUUAAUCUGUUUUGAAAACUUUGACAAGUAGAAGCCUAAUCUCUCUUCUGUAGUUUAUCACAUAGGAUGUUUCCUUUUUAUAUAUAUUUCUCACUAAGACACAUCAUUAAGAAUACUGAGAGCUUAUUAAAGUUUUAAAAUGACUUUCUUUUUUUUUUAAGGGUAAUGAUGUGGAACAUUUAUUUCUGAAAUGAUCAACUUACCUCUCUGCAUACAUUAGCAGUUUCCUGUGUGCCUCUCUUUGAGAUUUUGCACAUGCCACCAGUCUUGAACUACCUCCCACCUAAAUCAUAUUUUGAUUUUAACUGUUCUAAUACACGAUGUAAUCAUCGUGCCCGGUAUGAGGGUAACACAUCUUUCAUGCACAGUAGAUCCUCUUAAGCAUUUGUAUUCAAAAUUAACUUCACUCUUAAACUCGGCACUACCUUUAACAGAUGUGUUUAAUUUUGCUCUUUGUGACUGACUUUAUUUAGUAAUAAUGUUUAGUAUCAUAGUUACUGUUUUUCUGACUUUUAUUUCUGUACAUUCCUAUUCUUUUGUGAGAUUUAUAAUUCCAUUUCCCACUUUCGUUCAUUUCUGCACAUUGGUAAACUACAAGUUUUGUUAGGGUUACCUUUUGUGUUGAUUUUCAAUUCUGCUAACAGAAAUUAUUCUAUACCCUGUACUUCACACAUUUUCUUGAAUCAACUGGUUUUUGUACUUGAAUUUCUAAGCCUAUGAUCUAUUACUUUGUGAGGUCAUGAGUCUUAAUUCCACAAACCUGUACAUACCAGUUGUUGCAUUAAAAAAACUUUAGAUGAUAUUCUUGAGCAGGUCUACACUAUGAACUCUCAUGUUUCUGUGACUUUGUCCUCUCUAGUUCUAGCUCUGUUCGAAAAGCUAAAAUAUCAUCUGGAAUGAGACUAGUUAAUGUUCUCUACUAUAAUUGUUUGCAGAACUCAAAAUACCAUACAAUUAAUAUCUUGAAACUCCUCACAGCUUCUACACAUUUAUGGCUGCUGGAGGUUCCUUGUCUGUGGGAAAUGUUACUGCUAGUUUUCACCAUGUAACAGAUUUUGCCCCCUCCCCCCUAUUUCCUACAUGUUCUCCAUUCCUGAGCCCGACCACGAGGCUGACAUUUUUCUCGCUAUUUUUGCUGUCUGGUUUUGCUCUGGCCUUGUCAUUCUCUGUUGAAAAACACAUCAUUCCUCUCUGUCUUUGCUGAUUGUGUCAGAUUUAUACUGUGCUUUCCCUUUCUCCUCUGUUCUGAGUUUCUUCAUGAUCUUUAUUCCCUUCUUUUGUGCUGUAGUUUAUUCUUUUUCUCCAUGUUAGAUUUUCCUGUUUAAACAUCUUUUCCACUCUUCUCUGCCUCAUCCUCCUCCUAUCCAUGAUUCCUUUAACAUUGAUUAUAGUCACUCCCCUUUUGCCUUUUUUGAUUCUUAAUUCCUGGAAUCCCUUCUGGGAUGUUGACCCUCUAUCUCCAGUAUCCCUUACCAGAGCUCCCUUCUCUCAUCUUUGCCUUCUCCUUGCUCUAUCCCUUCACUUUCUGUUUUCUUCUUAUCUCUUAUAUGAAGCACUCAGUCAGUUUUUCUGGGGUAUCUCUAGUCAGUCCUUUUCCCUACUUAGACCAGUGUCUCAUCAUUAGCUCUCUUUCUCCUCAUAUGGUUUCUGUUGUAGUUGAGAUCUAUUGAAACAUGACACCCUUUUCUCUGUCAUUCACCUUCUUCAUAUUUCCCUACAUGACUUGCAUCUCACUCCACUCAUUUGCCACAAGGUUUUUGGGGUGUUCAUCUCACCUUGGAGUGUCGGGCAGAAGCUGCUUGCCAUAAUUUUUCUUUCAUGGAAAAAGCCUGCACUGGGGAAGUGCCUGCCCACUUUCCUGGCUUGCACAUUCCAGCUUUUCAAAAUAUGUUUUGUGGCAACUUCUUCAGUAAAAAUUCUUUGUGGUAGUUAGGUCUGAUCAGAUCUGGGCCUUUCUCUGGAUUCUUCCCAACAUAAAUCCUCUCCUGCUCUUUAAGAGAAAUAUGAGAGUCCCUUGUCAUUCCAAGUUUUUAGCCAUUGGGGUGGUCAACUUGCAGAGUCGCUCACUUGUUUUGCGAUCCCUCCAUAGAGAGUCCUAGUUGACAGCACACUGUGGUGGGAAUUAGGGCUGGGGUGUCAAUGUAGUACAGGUUAUUUUAUUUUAUGCCAAUUUCAUGGUGGUUUUCAUCAACUGGUGGGGCAAAGUGUUGUUCUUAGGAGGCAGGUAGGGACUUUAGUAUCCAUUGCUGUAUGGUGAGUAAAUCGUACAACAGAACACAUACCAAACCUUGCAGUCUGAUUAUUGUCCUAGCCAUACUACACCUCAUGUCUUUCAUGUUCAUGUAUUUUUUCUGCCCACACCUGCAAUUAUUGGCUUGUUUUUGCCUUCAUCCUUUCUCAGAAUGAUAUAGUUUUGCAUGAGUGUUGCCCUUCUAGUAAGUUCCCAUUAAGGGAGCUCUUCUAAGUUUUCUUUUUUGCAUCAACCCUUCCACCACAUUAGUGUCAGAUUCUAGUUACUGUGUACAGAAAAGUAAGUGUAUCAUUUCAGAAGUUAGCAUCAUUUUUACCUGAAAAUGUAUUUCUGAUAGGUCUUUCCAUCAUUCCUCCCCGCUACCAGUGCACAUUAUUCUUGCCUUGUCUAAGAAUAGAAUUAAUUUUGAGUGCAAGUGCUUAUUGGGGAUCUACUGUGCAUGAAGGAUGUCACCCUCCUAUUGGUGGAGGUCUAUUCCUGCAUGAUGAUUACAUCAUGUACUAGUGCAGUUAAUGCAAAACUUGAUUUAGGUGGGAGGUAGUUCCAGGCUAGUGGUGUGCACAAAACAAUGGCAGGUGUGUGAGAAAUUGCUAUUGUGUGGAGACAGGUAAGUAUCUAUUGGAGAUAUAUUUUAAGGUAAGGAAAAUAUUAACUUCCCACAAUUUCAUUAACCUUGAAUCAGAUGAGUAACUUGAGUAUUUGUCAUUACUGGGCUGCUUUUUAAAUUCUGACAUUAAGUUUUUUCUUCUCAGCAGGCUGCUAGGUUUCUUUCUGUAGAGCUUGUGUUGCUUGAUUGUAAAUAAAUAAUUAAUUUAAAAAUAAUUUUCUGAGAAAAAUCUCUUAAACACAGCUUUGGUGUUUAAAGACAGUUUUGCCAGUGUACUUUACCUCUUACAUGAAUUGCUUUAUGAAAUUUUCAAACCUUCGGUGAUUUAACUGCUUAAAAAUUGUCUUCAAACAUUAUACCUAAUAUUUUAGAUAACAUUUUUAAGAUUUAUUCCAACUUACCAGUACUAAUUGUACCAAUAUUACUAUCUGUUUAAAGAACAUAACCAUUAAAUUUCACAUUUGCUUUUAGCUACUACCUUCAGUUUUAUCAAAGUAAUCUUGUUACUUUUACAGAGAUUUUAUCAUCUGAUUCUAGUGUUCUAUCUGAACUCAUACCAAAGUUAAUCCAUGUAAUAAUAAUAAUAAAGGAACAAAAUGGUGAGAUGUUUAUUACUAUUUCAGCAUACUAAUAGUCAUCAUAACAAAGUUAGUCUUGUUUCUAUUAAAGGGACAACAUUUUGAGAUUUUACUACUAAAUUUCAACUUAUCAGCAUUAAUCAUACCUAAGUCUUGUUAAGCACAAACAAAAACUAAGUGACUUAUCUUAUUUGAGCUUAACAGUAUUUUUCUAAUAUAGAAAUAAAUCCAUGAGAUAUUAUCAGCUAAUUUUAGCAUACCUUUAACAAACACAUCAAAGUUAGUCUUAUUACUAUCACAGGCCAAAAAUCAAUAUAUUAUACAUUCAGUUCCAGCUAGUUUGUUUGUUUAUGCUAUUGUGUAUAACCAUGUGAUUUUAUUACUGGAUCCUAUCUUACCAUGUAGUUAUAUUAAAUUGAGUGUGGUAACUAUUACAGUGCUAAACUUAAACAUUUUUAGUAAUGUUAAACUCUCAUGAAUCAAGUGUUGAAAAAAAGUAUUUUCUUAGUAUGGGGAUUUAACAUUUAGAGAGACAUCCUCCUUUAUAGCUUCUUCAUGGCUCUUAGUAUAUGAAUUUUUGGCAUUUUAUUUCAUCAUAACUUAAAUAUAUUCAUGCUAAUGAUAGAGAUUGUGAACUAAUCAUGAUAAUUUUACAGAAAUAACUAAGUUAACUGUAACUUAGUCAUUUAUAAAAGUACAAGUUUUGUUUUACCACAGAAAUUAAUAACCAUAUAAAUUUUCUGUCUUAAAGAUGGUAGUAGUACAUAUUUAUUAUCUCCAGUGCCAUUUGGUAUACAUAAAGUAAGACUGAUUAGUCAAAGACUCGUGGUACAGGUCAAGAAGUCUUUUGGUCAGCAUUUAAGGUGUCAAAAGAUAAAGUGGUAAAAUACUGGCCAAUUAAGGCUAAUAAUGGUUAGGAAAAUAAUCAGUUACUGUGUGAAAUUUUUGUAAUUUAAUUUGAGGGAAUUAUAUUUUAUUUGUAGGGUUUCUGUGGAAGUUGAUUAUUUUAAAUUUAAACUUUAAGAGAAGAGGGAUUUUUAUUCUGUGUAUGGAUUUGAAGAUUACAAGCACACAAUUCUGUAUGUUUUAAUUUUUACUCUGAUAUGUGCCUUACUGGUCUUUGAUAUUUUAAACUCUUGCUCAAGAUUCAAACACUUAAGAAAUUGUUUCUGAAUUUCAUUUAAAGAUCUAACAAAUCUACCUGUGGUAACCCUUUGUAUAAGUUAUUUUAGGUUAGAGUAUUUUGAAUAAAAAAUAGCAAAGUUUCAAUAAAAACAUGAAGAAAACAAAAUGUUCUUACACAUCAUUGGUCAAAUGCUAUUUCUGGACUAACUGAAUUGCUAUUUCACACAAUAUUGUACUGAUGCAUUUUUGUAGAAAUAUAUUCCUUUAUUUUAUUUUUUAAAGAUAACAAAAAUGUGUACCUUCUAGCUUGUUUCUUGUUUUUGAAAAUGGUUAAAUUUAAGGCCUUCAACUUUUAUGAGUGACCUGUCUUAACCUUUACCCACAUACAUAGCUUAUCUUCAUUUUUCACAGAAUGAAUUAAAAAA